UCUUACCGGUAUUUCCAUUAUUAUUUACAACUUUAUCGUCAAACGGACAUUCUUCAUUUUCUUCGCGACAUUCUGCGUUUUUCUCGUUCUCCACAAUCUCUUCGCUUUUCACGUCAGUUUCGUCGUUCGAAUUUCGGCACUGUUCGGAAGGUGUCGCGGUCUCCUCGUUCAGAGUUCGUUCCUGCUGCUCUUGUUCUUACAUGUAUUUCUCUUGUUGUUUUUUCAUUGACGUUUACGGCAGACCUUCAACCGCAAACUACAAAUCGUAUUUGAAGGCAUUUCAAAGUACCACAAGUUUUCGACAGCGAAGUAACCAACUCAUCCUCAAUUUUCCUAACUUCUAACAGUUGACCUCAAAAUACAAUUUGAAGUUUGCAGUCUGCCGUAAAAGUCGAUCUUAAAGUCUCUAACGUCGUAACGCAAGAUCGAUAAACUUGCAUAGAUGCAAAAGCCCACAAAUUUCAAGAUAGACUCAGACUAUUUCCUAUCGCUGACCAUGACUUAGUCACGUGACCAGUGAGCUACAUAUAUCAUUCGGUCCAUGAGAAAAGUGAAUCCAAGAUGGCGUAAUUCACGUCCAAAAUCGGUCGAAGGUCGUAAACAGGUUUCAUACCAUUUUCCCUAGCUAAUGGACCAUUUGCAUUAUAGACUAAAUUUUGAUCUCAACAAGUCUGGACAAAAAUUUCAUCACAGCUUGAAAGAGGAUCACAAAAUUAG